UUCCACAUAUCUUUGGACCUGACAGUUGUGGCGGUCUCCCUUCCAAGCCACAGGACAGCACAUUCUUGUUUAUUGGCGAAGCCAUCACUCUUUAGUUGGUAUCAGACACUGACUUGCACAAGAAGCAUCC